UGGCGACCGGCGCAAGGGUGCGUAACGCGUGAGCAACUUGCCCGUUUCUGGGGGAAUAACCCGGUGGAAACGCCAACUAAUACCCCAUAGUAUCAGAUUUAGGCAUCUUUAUCUGAUUAAAGAAUUUCGGAAACGGAUAGGCUUCGCGUCUGAUUAGCUAGAUGGCGGGUAACGGCCCACCAUGGCGACCGAUCAGUAGCCGGUCUGAGAGGAUGAACGGCCACAUUGGGACUGAGAUACGGCCCAGACUCCUACGGGAGGCAGCAGUGGGGAAUAUUGGGCAAUGGACGCAAGUCUGACCCAGCAACGCCGCGUGAAGGAAGAAGGCUUUCGGGUUGUAAACUUCCUUUUAAGAGGGAAGAGUAGAAGACGGUACCUCUUGAAUAAGCCACGGCUAACUACGUG
rnacentral:rRNA from 1 species